CAACACAUCACACAAUAAACGCCAGCUGUGGUGGAACGUGCAGAGGCGCUGCGCAGCCCAGGCGUGUCGCGCGCUUGGGAACCCUCGCCGCUCCCGCAGCGCAGUUAACGUGGACAAGCUGGGGCAACCUGGACGAGCUGGGGCAACCUGAUCUCGGCUGUCGGAGUGGGUGUCCUCAAGAAAGGUGACUUGGUCCUCGCGGACGCCAGGUGUUGCCCCUUAGAUACCUGCCACCUCCCAGCCUCCGUUUCCUCUCUGGGAAACAGACUCCUCAUCACCUCCUCCAGUUUUCUGCCCCUUCUUCACCUCUCCUGACGCUCCAUCCGUACCUUUUGCAAGGGAACGUGCCAUAAUUCGGCUAUGCUCUAUUUUCUUGUCUAAUAGAUUGUAAGCUCCUUGCGGGCAGCAUCUAUGCCUUCUUAAAUCUGUUUCUAGUUUCUACCAGCAAGCUUGCCCCGAAGGGGAUUGCAGAAUAUCUGUUAAAUAAGUGAAUGAAUAAUUUUGUAAAUGUUGCUCAAUAAGAGUUAAGUAGUGGCGGGCCGGGCGCGGUGGCUGACGCCUGUAAUCCCAGCACUUUGGGAGGCCAAGGCAGACGCAUCACCUGCGCUCACGAGUUCGAGGCCAGCCUGGGCAAAAUGGUGAAACCCCUGUCUCUACUAAAAAUACCAAAAAAAAAAAAAAAAAAAAAAAAAAAAAAAAAAAAUAGCCGGGCAUGGUGGCGGGUGCUUGUAGUCCCAGCUACUCGGGAGGCUGAGACAGGAGAAUCGCUUGAACCCGGGAGGCGGAGGCUGCAGAGAGCCAAGACAGCUCCACUGCACUCCUAGCCUGGGCAACAGAGAGAGACUCCGUCUCAAAAAAAAAAAAAAAUUAAUAAGAAAAAAGUUAAGUGAUGGGAAAGUUCUAGGCAAGAAUUUCUUCCCUCCCUCCUCCCUGGCUCGCUUGUGUGCCGGGAGCUGCGCAGAUGCGGGGAUACCGUGAGAGGGAGGAACCUGUCUCAGCUCCUGCCCUUGUGCCGUGGAGCUUUGAAAUAUAAGGUAAAUGAAAGUACUAAAUCUUGACUGAAGUUUGGUUUUAAAGCAUCUCUGAUUAAUGGAAGAGGUAGGAUGUGGGGAAGGGCGUUGUAUUUAGUUAUGUUUCAGUUUAAAAUGAAUCUUCACUUGCCCCUUUGGUGUUACGUAUUAGCAAUGAUUCAUGCUCAGGUGAGCCAGUUUCAGGCAGGCUUGCAGAGAGGCACUCAAACAGCUUGCUUUAAAUUUAAGGUAAAAGGCCGGGCGCGGUGGCUCACGCCUGAAAUCCCAGCACUUUAGGAGGCCGAGGCAGGUGAAUCACUUGAGGUCAGGAGUUUGAGACCAGCCUGACCAACAUGGUGAAACCCCGUUUCUACUAAAAAUACAAAAAUCAGCCGGGCGUGGUGGCAGGUGCCCGUAGUCCCAGCUACCUGGGAGGCUGCGGCAGGAGAAUUCCUUGAACCCAGGAGGCGGAGGUUGCAGUGAGCUGAGAUAGCGCCUCUGCAUUCCAGCCUGGGCGACAGAGCGAGACUCCAUCUUAAUAAGCAAAGAAAUAAAUAAAUUUAAGGUAAAAGGUUCUUACCAGCCGGGCGCGGUGGCCCACUCCUGUAAUCCCAGCACUUUGGGAAGCCGAGGCAGGUGGAUCACCUGAGGUCAGGAGUUCAAGACCAGCCUGGCCAACAUGGUGAAACCCCGUCUCUACUAAAAAAUACAAAGUUAGCUGGGCGUGGUGGCAGACGCCUGUAAUCCCAGCUACUUGGGAGGCUGAGGCAGAAGAAUCGCUUGAACCUGGGAAGCGGAGGUUGCAGUGAGCCGAGAUCGCGCUAUUGCACUCCAUCCUGGGCUACAAGAGCGAAACUCUGUCUCAAAAAAAAAAAAAAAAUGGUUCUUACUUUGGAUUACAAACUGUGAGGACUAACCCAAUGUUUGUUUUCUUCACUUAUGUAUGCCCAGUGCUUAGCUCAUAAUUGGUGCUUUAAAAACUUUAGAAUGGGAUAGAGGUAAGUAUUCUUAGCUCCUUGGGCCUCUUCCUUUUUAAAAAUAACAUGUCUACUAUUAGAAAUUAAUUUCUGGCCGGGCGCGGUGGCUCAUGCCUGUAAUCCCAGCGCUUUGGGAGGCCGAGGUGGGUGGAUCACUUGAGGCCAGGAGUUCGAGACCAGCCUGGCCAACAUAGUUAAACCCUGUCUCUACUAAAAAUACAAAAACAGCUGGGCAUGGUGGCGCGUGUCUGUAAUCCAGCUACUCAGGUGGCUGAGGCAGGAGAAUCGCUUGAACCUGGGAGGCGGAGGUUAUAGUGAGCCAAGAACAUGCCACUGCACUCCAGCCUGGGACUGUCUAAAAAAAAAAAAAACAACAACAACAACAAAAAAAAAAGAGACUCUGUCUUAAAACAAUUAAUUUCUAAAUAAAGAGUUGCAUGUUUAAUAUUUCACCUUUGUUUGAAGUGGUCAUUUCCAAAGAAAGCUCAGAGUUGAAGUAUACCUGUUAACAAAUACUCAGAAUUCAUUGUAGAAUUUUUGUUUUUGUUCUCGUUUUUAUCUUGCCUAAAUAAUUGUUCUCUUCCCCAUUCCCUUUAUAAUUUUGCCAGUGACACACUUAUUAUGUUUAUUUAAACUUGAAAAAAACCUCAAGAGUUGUAGGGUAAUACCUCAAUGUGUUGUACAUCCUGAAAAGCUGUUAUAUUUUCAACAUAAGGGACAAUGCAGGAUGCUGAAAUCAUUGUAUUUAAACUGUAAAAAUGUCUGCCUUAUAUAAUUAUGAUUUUAAAAUCUACCCUGAACUUCUCAAAAGAAGGAUUUGUUUAUAAUACACCGUACAGUAAUAAUUUUAUCAUUUCCAACAGAUAAAUGGCAGUGUAAUCGAUGAGAUCUUGUACAUUCCUUUGUAAUUUGUGAGCACUUCAUACGGAGAGUCAAGGGGGAGGGCUCAUCUGGAGAAUUUUGAAUCCCAGUAUUCUCCCCCACCCCGCAGAGUAGGUUCUUUCCCCAUGGAGUAUGAGGCUAUUGUUUUGUAGUAAACCUUAAACUCUCAGACUGAAAGUAAUUAGAACUGGAAAUUAGUAACCACUUUUUUCUAAACUUUUCCCCUUUAUUUUUAUUUUCAAUGUAAAGUAGGACUUUGCUAUAAAACACGUGACCCUAGGGAAACUUUUGAAGUUAGCGGUAUAGAG
rnacentral:lncRNA from 1 species